rnacentral:rRNA from 1 species
UAGGGAAUCUUCCGCAAUGGACGAAAGUCUGACGGAGCAACGCCGCGUGAGUGAAGAAGGAUUUCGGUUCGUAAAACUCUGUUGUUAGGGAAGAAAAAAUGUAUAGUAACUAUAUACAAAAGAGACGGUACCUAACCAGAAAGCCACGGCUAACUACGUGCCAGCAGCCGCGGUAAUACGUAGGUGGCAAGCGUUGUCCGGAAUUAUUGGGCGUAAAGCGCGCGCAGGUGGUUUAGAAAGUCUGAUGUGAAAGCCCACGGCUCAACCGUGGAGGGUCAUUGGAAACUAAUAAACUUGAGUGCAGGAGAGAAAAGUGGAAUUCCUAGGGUAGCGGUGAAAUGCGUAGAGAUUAGGAGGAAUACCUGUGGCGAAGGCGACUUACUGGACACAAAUCUGACGCUGAGGAACGAAAGCGUGGGUAGCAAACAGG